UGAGGAAUAUUGGGCAAUGGACGAAAGUCUGACCCAGCCAUGCCGCGUGCAGGAUGAAUGCCCUAUGGGUUGUAAACUGCUUUUGUGCGGGAAGAAACCCCCGGACGUGUUCGGGGUUGACGGUACCGUAUGAAUAAGCAUCGGCUAACUCCGUGCCAGCAGCCGCGGUAAUACGGAGGAUGCAAGCGUUAUCCGGAUUUAUUGGGUUUAAAGGGUGCGUAGGCGGGAAAUUAAGUCAGUGAUGAAAUCCUGCAGCUUAACUGUAGAAUUGUUAUUGAUACUGGUUUCCUUGAAUGCAGUUGAGGCAGGCGGAAUGUGUAAUGUAGCGGUGAAAUGCUUAGAUAUUACACAGAACACCGAUUGCGAAGGCAGCUUGCUAAACUGUGAUUGACGCUGAGGCACGAAAGCGUGGGGAGCAAACAG
rnacentral:rRNA from 1 species